rnacentral:rRNA from 1 species
GAUGAACGCUAGCGGCAGGCUUAACACAUGCAAGUCGAGGGGUAUAGGAAGCUUGCUUCCUUGAGACCGGCGCACGGGUGCGUAACGCGUAUGCAACCUACCUUUUACAGAGGGAUAGCCCCAGAGAAAUUUGGAUUAAUACCUCAUGGUAUAUAUCAUUCGCAUGUUUGAUAUAUUAAAGUUCCAACGGUAAAAGAUGGGCAUGCGUCCUAUUAGCUAGAUGGUAAGGUAACGGCUUACCAUGGCAACGAUAGGUAGGGGUCCUGAGAGGGAGAUCCCCCACACUGGUACUGAGACACGGACCAGACUCCUACGGGAGGCAGCAGUGAGGAAUAUUGGGACAAUGGGCGCAAGCCUGAUCCAGCCAUGCCGCGUGUGUGAAGAA